UACAGAGGGUGCGAGCGUUGUUCGGAAUUACUGGGCGUAAAGCGCGCGCAGGCGGCCCUUUAAGUCCGUCGGUCAAAUGCCGGGGCUCAACCCCGAUGCAUGCCGAGGAUACUGGAGGGCUGGAGACACGUAGAGGCAAGCGGAAUUCCGGGUGUAGCGGUGGAAUGCGUAGAUAUCUGGAGGAACACCGGUGGCGAAGGCGGCAUCCUGGACCAACACUGACGCUGAGUGAGCGAAAGCCAGGGGAGCAAACGGG
rnacentral:rRNA from 1 species